AGGGGGUCGACCACAGCAUCAUUGUCAAAGUCAUCCUCACACACAUCACCAACGCCAUUGCCUGGGCAGAGUGAGGCUGGGUGCUCAGGAAGGCCCUGGCCACUGCCAUUAGGCAACAAUACCAUCUGUUGGGCCUGCAUUCCUGACAUCUUUCCCCACCUUGCCCUUCCUCACUUCCCAACAGGGCUUGCUGCCUCCACCUGGGCAAAGGCAACACCAGUCUAACGUGCUCUGGGUCCGCAGGCUUACCAUCUGAGUCCUUCUGAUUGGGAUUGGGUACCAGGCGGCAGUUAUCGGGACCAGGAGGCACAUAAUCUGGGAUGCCAUCAUUGUCAUCAUCCCCAUCACACUCAUCUCCAAGUCCAUCGUUAUCAGAGUCCAGCUGGGAGCUAUUUGGCAGCUGUGGGCAGUUGUCCUUGGUGUCCUGAUGCCCAUCCCCAUCGCUAAUCAGAAGAACAGGUUGGUGAAAGUCCCGAACUUUGUCUCCCCACCCAGAGGACAACUGGCCAGGAAAUCUGCCUGUUUCUUGUCUCACCCUCUAGUCCACACUCUGCCUAACACUACGCCCUACCUCACAUUCCUAUUGACAUCUGCUGCAGGUAAUCUCUCCUCACCCAGGCCAACGUCCACAAGCCUGCCUCCCUAUUUCACAGAGACUUCCUAGCUUCCCUGCUUCAUCCCCACCUGAUCCAAAUUCUCACAGGUCCCCCAGCCACCCCUUCAGCCCCAGGCCUGCACCAUCCCCAUCCACGUCGUUGUCACAGGCAUCUCCUUCCCCAUUGCCAUCUGUGUCCUUCUGGUCAUUGUUGGGAACGUUGGGGCAAUUGUCACAGGCAUCACCAAAU
rnacentral:lncRNA from 1 species